GACGUUGUUAUAGAAACAGGCAGAGUACAGGUAUAAAACAGGUAUGAGACGUUGUUAUAGAAACAGGCAGAGUACAGGUAUAAAACAGGUAUGAGACGUUGUUAUAUAGAAACAGGCAGAGUACAGGUAUAAAACAGGUAUGAGACGUUGUUGUUAUAGAAACAGGCAGAGUACAGGUAUAAAACAGGUAUGAGACGUUGUUAUAUAGAAACAGGCAGAGUACAGGUAUAAAACAGGUAUGAGACGUUGUUAUAUAGAAACAGACAGAGUACAGGUAUAAAACAGGUAUGAGACGUUGUUAUAUAGAAACAGGCAGAGUACAGGUAUAAAACAGGUAUGAGACGUUGUUAUAGAAACAGGCAGAGUACAGGUAUGAAACAGGUAUGAGACGUUGUUGUUAUAGAAACAGGCAGAGUACAGGUAUAAAACAGGUAGGAGACGUUGUUAUAUAGAAACAGGCAGAGUACAGGUAUAAAACAGGUAUGAGACGUUGUUAUAUAGAAACAGGCAGAGUACAGGUAUAAAACAGGUAUGAGACAUUGUUACUAUAGAAACAGGCAGAGUACAGGUAUAAAACAGGUAUGAGACGUUGUUGUUAUAGAAACAGGCAGAGUACAGGUAUAAAACAGGUAUGAGACGUUGUUAUAGAAACAGGCAGAGUACAGGUAUAAAACAGGUAUGAGACGUUGUUAUAUAGAAACAGGCAGAGUACAGGUAUAAAACAGGUAUGAGACGUUGUUAUAUAGAAACAGGCAGAGUACAGGUAUAAAACAGGUAUGAGACGUUGUUAUAGAAACAGGCAGAGUACAGGUAUAAAACAGGUAUGAGACGUUGUUAUAUAGAAACAGGCAGAGUACAGGUAUAAAACAGGUAUGAGACAUUGUUACUAUAGAAACAGGCAGAGUACAGGUAUAAAACAGGUAUGAGACGUUGUUAUAGAAACAGGCAGAGUACAGGUAUAAAACAGGUAUGAGACGUUGUUAUAUAGAAACAGGCAGAGUACAGGUAUAAAACAGGUAUGAGACGUUGUUAUAUAGAAACAGGCAGAGUACAGGUAUAAAACAGGUAUGAGACAUUGUUACUAUAGAAACAGGCAGAGUACAGGUAUAAAACAGGUAUGAGACGUUGUUGUUAUAGAAACAGGCAGAGUACAGGUAUAAAACAGGUAUGAGACGUUGUUAUAUAGAAACAGGCAGAGUACAGGUAUAAAACAGGUAGGAGACGUUGUUGUUAUAUAGAAACAGACAGAGUACAGGUAUAAAACAGGUAUGAGACAUUGUUACUAUAGAAACAGGCAGAGUACAGGUAUAAAACAGGUAUGAGACGUUAUAUAGAAACAGGCAGAGUACAGGUAUAAAACAGGUAUGAGACGUUGUUAUAGAAACAGGCAGAGUACAGGUAUAAAACAGGUAUGAGACGUUGUUAUAGAAACAGGCAGAGUACAGGUAUAAAACAGGUAUGAGACGUUGUUAUAGAAACAGGCAGAGUACAGGUAUAAAACAGGUAUGAGACGUUGUUAUAGAAACAGGCAGAGUACAGGUAUAAAACAGGUAUGAGACGUUGUUAUAUAGAAACAGGCAGAGUACAGGUAUAAAACAGGUAUGAGACGUUGUUAUAGAAACAGGCAGAGUACAGGUAUAAAACAGGUAUGAGACGUUGUUAUAUAGAAACAGGCAGAGUACAGGUAUAAAACAGGUAUGAGACGUUGUUGUUAUAGAAACAGGCAGAGUACAGGUAUAAAACAGGUAUGAGACGUUGUUAUAGAAACAGGCAGAGUACAGGUAUAAAACAGGUAUGAGACGUUGUUAUAUAGAAACAGGCAGAGUACAGGUAUAAAACAGGUAUGAGACGUUGUUAUAUAGAAACAGGCAGAGUACAGGUAUAAAACAGGUAUGAGACGUUGUUAUAUAGAAACAGGCAGAGUACAGGUAUAAAACAGGUAUGAGACGUUGUUAUAUAGAAACAGGCAGAGUACAGGUAUAAAACAGGUAUGAGACGUUGUUGUUAUAGAAACAGGCAGAGUACAGGUAUAAAACAGGUAUGAGACGUUAUAUAGAAACAGGCAGAGUACAGGUAUAAAACAGGUAUGAGACGUUGUUGUAUAGAAACAGGCAGAGUACAGGUAUGAGACGUUGUUAUAUAGAAACAGGCAGAGUACAGGUAUAAAACAGGUAGGAGACGUUGUUGUUAUAUAGAAACAGACAGAGUACAGGUAUAAAACAGGUAUGAGACAUUGUUACUAUAGAAACAGGCAGAGUACAGGUAUAAAACAGGUAUGAGACGUUAUAUAGAAACAGGCAGAGUACAGGUAUAAAACAGGUAUGAGACGUUGUUAUAGAAACAGGCAGAGUACAGGUAUAAAACAGGUAUGAGACGUUGUUAUAGAAACAGGCAGAGUACAGGUAUAAAACAGGUAUGAGACGUUGUUAUAGAAACAGGCAGAGUACAGGUAUAAAACAGGUAUGAGACGUUGUUAUAUAGAAACAGGCAGAGUACAGGUAUAAAACAGGUAUGAGACGUUGUUAUAGAGAAACAGGCAGAGUACAGGUAUAAAACAGGUAUGAGACGUUGUUAUAGAAACAGGCAAAGUACAGGUAUAAAACAGGUAUGAGACGUUGUUGUUAUAGAAACAGGCAGAGUACAGGUAUAAAACAGGUAUGAGACGUUAUAUAGAAACAGGCAGAGUACAGGUAUAAAACAGGUAUGA